rnacentral:tRNA from 1 species
GCGGGCCAUGGGCAAGGGCGGGCUCCCCGGCGGCCUGCCGGGCGGCGGCGUCCCGCCGAUGCCGCCCGGGUUCGGCGGCAAGGGGCCGGGCC